UACGUAGGGUGCAAGCGUUAAUCGGAAUUACUGGGCGUAAAGCGUGCGCAGGCGGUUAUGGAAGACCGGGGUGAAAUCCCCGGGCUUAACCUGGGAACUGCAUUUGUGACUGCAUAGCUAGAGUACGGUAGAGGGGGAUGGAAUUCCGCGUGUAGCAGUGAAAUGCGUAGAUAUGCGGAGGAACACCGAUGGCGAAGGCAAUCCCCUGGACCUGUACUGACGCUCAUGCACGAAAGCGUGGGGAGCAAACAGG
rnacentral:rRNA from 1 species